GUCUGCACCACAAGCUGCCUACCCUCCAGGUGCCUCAAUGGUCCGGCCACCAGUUGUGCCUCGGCGCCCCCCGGCCCACAUCAGCAGUGUCAGGCAGGCCUCCACCCAGGUGCCACGCACGGUGCCUCAUACCCAGAGAGUAGCCAACAUUGGUACUCAGACCACAGGACCCAGUGGGGUAGGAUGCUGUACACCAGGCCGGCCGCUCCUGCCGUGCAAAUGUUCCUCAGCAGCACAUAGCACCUAUCGGGUCCAGGAGCCGGCUGUGCACAUCCCAGGACAGGAGCCCCUGACGGCGUCCAUGCUGGCUGCGGCGCCCCUGCAUGAGCAAAAGCAGAUGAUUGGUGAGUGGCUGGUUCUCCUACUCUGGAGCAAGAAGAGGAGGGCUGCGAGCUGGCUAGCCUGCUGGGAAACACCUCACGUGGUGGUCCAACGUGAGGUCAAAUUCCAGCUUUGUCACCGACCCCCCUACUGGGUGACCGUGGCCAAGCUGGCUCUAUUCUCUAGGCACCUGUUAUCUUGUCUUAAAACCCUGGUCAGACUGGAUGGUCCUGAGCUUUCUUCCACUGCUGCUGUCCUGUGACUUUGAGGUUGGGAGACAGUCCAGAUGUGGGGAGAUCAGGGGACAAAGGGAGGAGUAGGGGUAUGGUCUUGGGUUUCUGCUGAGAAAUGGCUUGUAGGUGGGGGUUAAAGUUCCUCACACCUCUCCUGAACGGGAGGAAGCUGCUGUUCACCAGUUUCCAGUGCUCAAUGCAGGCAGGUGGGGAAUCUGUGCGUUUGGUAAAUACACGAUGUUUCCC
rnacentral:sRNA from 1 species